rnacentral:rRNA from 1 species
UACAGAGGGUGCAAGCGUUGUUCGGAAUUAUUGGGCGUAAAGCGCGUGUAGGCGGCUUUGCAAGUCGGGCGUGAAAUCCCACGGCUCAACCGUGGAAGUGCACUCGAAACUGCAUAGCUAGAGUCCUGGAGAGGAAGGUGGAAUGCUUGGUGUAGAGGUGAAAUUCGUAGAUAUCAAGCGGAACACCGGUGGCGAAGGCGGCCUUCUGGACAGUGACUGACGCUGAGACGCGAAAGCGUGGGGAGCAAACAGGG